rnacentral:tRNA from 1 species
AAAAUCCGUUUUUUUUAUAAGUUGUGAGGGUUCAAGUCCCUCUAUCCCCA